rnacentral:piRNA from 1 species
UGGAUUGUCUUCUAACAGACCAAACAGC